rnacentral:rRNA from 1 species
UACGUAGGGGCGAGCGUUGUCCGGAAUGAUUGGGCGUAAAGGGCGCGUAGGCGGCUUAGCAAGUCUGGAGUGAAAGUCCUAUUUUCAAGGUAGGAAUUGCUUUGGAAACUGUUGAGCUUGAGUGCAGGAGAGGUUAUCGGAAUUCCCGGUGUAGCGGUGAAAUGCGUAGAGAUAUGGAGGAACACCAGUGGCGAAGGCGGCUUCCUGGUCUGUAACUGACACUGAGGCGCGAAAGCGUGGGGAGCAAACAGGAUUAGAUACCCCGGUAGUCCCUGA